rnacentral:rRNA from 1 species
CCUACGGGGGGCAGCAGUGGGGAAUUUUGCGCAAUGCUCGUAAGAGUGACGCAGCGACGCCGCGUGAAUGACGAAGGCCUUCGGGUCGUAAAGUUCUUUCGACAGGGAAGAAAAUGCCUAUAAGUAACUGUGUAUGUAUUGACGGUACCUGUAUAAGCAGCCCCGGCUAACUCCGUGCCAGCAGCCGCGGUAAUACGGAGGGGGCGAGCGUUGUUCGGAGGGACUGGGCGUAAAGAGCACGUAGGCGGUGUUGUAAGUCAUUAGUCAAAGACUAGAGCUCAACUUUAGUAAGGCUAGUGUUACUAUAAUACUAGAGUAUCAGAGAGGAUUGCAGAAUUCCUGGUGUAGCGGUGAAAUGCGUAGAUAUCAGGAGGAAUACCGUUAGCGAAGGCGGCAAUCUGGCUGGAAACUGACGCUGAGGUGCGAAAGCGUGGGUAGCAAACAGGAUUAGAUACCCCUGUAGUC